rnacentral:tRNA from 1 species
GGUCUGUUAGCUCAGUUGGCAGAGCGUGGUGCUGAUAACGCCAAGGUCGUGAGCCUCACAUGGACCA